GGAAUUGUGGCUCAGUGGUAGUGUGCUCACCUAGCACAUGUGAGGACCUGAGUUUGAUCCUCAGCACCA
rnacentral:tRNA from 1 species